rnacentral:lncRNA from 1 species
CCAACCCCCGCCCCACACGCACCGGCUGCCUGUGGGGCUGGGGAAGCAGAAGGGGAGAGGAUGACCAGGAGUCAGGAGAGGGUGUGGUAUGAAAAGGUGGAGGUUCCAGCACAGCUGGCAGCUUUCUAGCUAGGGGAAGGAUGGAUGACUUGAGGAAUCUUUAGCUGUUCAAAUCUGGGGUAGGGAGACUAUAAAAUCUAGAGGAGCAAGAGUAAGGGCAGAUGACCCCUAAAUACAUCCCCCUGAAGACUUGGUGCUGACACAUGUGGAGAAUAGUUUAGAUGGGAGGGGGAAACUGAAGAAUCCCCAGGAGCUGGUGAGAGCUCUAACCUCACAGGUGUCCCAGGAAUGUAGGGUUUCCCAUUGCACCCCUCAAAAACACGCUCCUCCCUCUCUUUUACAGAAUCUACGUAGCACUAAUGUGUCUUCACAGCCCACUCGGCCAGCCUGGGCCAAUCAGAGGGAGCCACAGGAAUCGGAGACCUGUGUGUUACUGAGAACAGCACCUGGCACAAAGAAUGGCCUCAGUCAUCAUCUCUGCUGCCUAAUGUUCUAGGCCUCAGUGUUGGACCACAGAGAGAAAUCCCCUAGGUAUCUCUCAGAUCCAAUUUAAACUGAGAAAAAUCAAAGUAAGCAGCCCUGCAUAGACCAAGAGUCCACACCACACACAUCGCGGUAUCGUCACCUGAACAGACACACCUGCGUAACUCCUUCACCAGUUCCCAUUGCAGAAGAGUGCUAACUGCUUUUCUGUUGCCAGGAUAAAACACCACAGCCAAAGCAUCUUCCAG